rnacentral:rRNA from 1 species
GACAGAGGCCUCGAGCGUUAGGCGGAAUCACUGGGCUUAAAGCGUGUGUAGGCGGCUCGUUAAGUGUCUUGUGAAAUCCCACGGCUCACCCGUGGAACUGCUGGGCAUACUGGCGAUCUUGGGCCAACUAGGGGCAACUGGAACAAGCGGUGGAGCGGUGAAAUGCGUAGAUAUCGCUUGGAACGCCGAAGGUGAAAACAGGUUGCUGGGGUUGUGCCGACGCUGAGACACGAAAGCCAGGGGAGCAAACGGG